UACGUAGGGUGCAAGCGUUAAUCGGAAUUACUGGGCGUAAAGCGUGCGCAGGCGGUUAUGUAAGACAGAUGUGAAAUGCCCGGGCUUAACCUGGGAACUGCAUUUGUGACUGCAUGGCUAGAGUUUGGCAGAGGGGGAUGGAAUUCCGCGUGUAGCAGUGAAAUGCGUAGAUAUGCGGAGGAACACCGAUGGCGAAGGCAAUCCCCUGGGCCGAUACUGACGCUGAGGAGCGAAAGCGUGGGGAGCGAACAGG
rnacentral:rRNA from 1 species